rnacentral:rRNA from 1 species
UGGUGGAGUGAUUUGUCUGCCUAAUCGCGAUAACGAACGAGACCUUAACCUGCUAAAUAGCCCGUAUUGCUUUGGCAGUACGCUGGCUUCUUAGAGGGACUAUCGGCUCAAGCCGAUGGAAGUUUGAGGCAAUAACA